GAUGAAGAACGCAGCGAAAUGCGAUAAGUAAUGUGAAUUGCAGAAUUCAGUGAAUCAUCGAAUCUUUGAACGCACCUUGCGCCCUUUGGCCAUUCCGAAGGGCAUGCCUGUUUGAGUAUCAUGAACACCUCAACUCUUUAUGGUUUUCCAUGAUGAGCUUGGACUCUGGGGGUUUUGCUGGCUCACAGUCGGCUCCUCUAAAAUGAAUCAGCUUACCAGUGUUUGGUGGGUAUCAUGGGUGUGAUAACUAUCUACGCUUGUGGUUUUUCCACCAGGUAACCUUCAGCAGUGGAGGUUCGCUGGAGCUCAUAGAUGUCUCUCCUCAGUGAGGACAGCCCUUUGAAUGUUUGAUCUCAAAUCAGGUAGGACUACCCGCUGAACUUAAGCAUAUCAAUAGCGGAGGA
rnacentral:misc_RNA from 1 species